UUUUUCGGCCAUACCACCCUGAGCACACCCAAUGUUGUCUGAGUUCUGAAGUUAAGCAGGGUUGGAGUUGGUUAGUACUUGGAUGGGAGACUGGCUGGGAAUACCAGGUGCUGUAAGCU
rnacentral:rRNA from 1 species